UACGUAGGGAGCAAGCGUUGUCCGGAAUCAUUGGGCGUAAAGCGCGCGUAGGCGGCCUUGUAAGUCCGUUGUGAAAGUCAAAGGCUCAACCUUUGAAAGCCGAUGGAUACUGCGAGGCUAGAGUCCGGAAGAGGCGAGUUGAAUUCCCGGUGUAGCGGUGGAAUGCGCAGAUAUCAGGAGGAACACCAAUAGCGAAGGCAGCUCGCUGGGACGGUACUGACGCUAAGGCGCGAAAGCGUGGGGAGCGAACAGG
rnacentral:rRNA from 1 species